GGGGUUAUGGCUCAGUGGUAGAGCACUCACCCAGCACGAGUGAGGCAUUGGGUUCAAUCCUUAGUACCA
rnacentral:tRNA from 1 species